GUUUCUUUCUGGAACAAAAAACCAAACCAAACACUUGAACACUCAUCGGCUACAUGAAACUGGUUUAGGUACUAGGCAGUGCAUUUCCUCUAACCCAGCGUUGGUCCCGUGAGGGCUGUUAAAAGGAUAUAACAUGGCAUUGACUUUUUGCACACAGGCCUUCAAAUUUCUGUUUUCUGUAUUACAAGCUACUGUCCACACAGGGUCAUAAAUCCCCAGGGGGAAGUCAUAUGUUACACCACGUGACGAGCUUUGCAUCUGUUUUGCAGCUGUUCACAUUGCACUUUUAUUUUGCCUUUUGGAAACCCUAGACCAGCGCUUUUCAAACACAAACGUGUAUAUGAAUCCCUUGGGGCUCUUGUUAAAAUGCAGAUUUUGAGUCAGGAGGUCCGGGGAGGGCUGAGAUUCUCCAGUUCUGAGGAGAUGCGGGUGGUGCCAAUUCUGCUGCUCGGGACACCGUCCUUGGAGUGGUAAGGUUGCCGAAUAAUAGGAAGAAAAGACUGAAGCCCUGGCAGGACCAAUGUCCACGUGCACGCAUCAGAGACCGGUCUGGCUGUGGAGGAGUUGUCCUUGGUCACUGCACCGGAAGAGAACAAAAGGGUCCUGCAGCCCAGCCGUAACUGAAACCAGAGUGACCUCAGCAAUAGGUGUGUGAGCAACCGGAAGCAGAUUCUAACCGGCGGUUUCAGUUCCCUCCCUGUCAUUUCACUGACAGAAGAGAAGCAGCAGGCAGCCCCGGGGACUAUGAUCUUCUCUGUCCUUUAUGCAUGCUGUGAUCUAGGCCAGGCGUUCUCAGCUGCGGUACUGGUGACACUCGGGGCUGCAUGGCUUGUGAGUGUCUGCUGUGUGGUGUUCUGUGCGUCGUAGGGUGUGCAGCCCCAUCCCUGGACUCUACCCAUUAGAGACCAGUCGCCCCCCACCUCUACCUCCACUUGUAACAACCGAAAAUGCUUCCAGACAGUCCCAGAUAUCAGCUUGGGGGCCAAAACUGCCCCUGGUUGAGAACCACUGAUCUAGGAUAAGGCGUAAUUUGUC
rnacentral:lncRNA from 1 species